rnacentral:rRNA from 1 species
GACGAACGCUGGCGGCGUGCUUAACACAUGCAAGUCGAACGGAAAGGCCCUGCUUUUGUGGGGUGCUCGAGUGGCGAACGGGUGAGUAACACGUGAGUAACCUGCCCUUGACUUUGGGAUAACUUCAGGAAACUGGGGCUAAUACCGGAUAGGAGCUCCUGCUGCAUGGUGGGGGUUGGAAAGUUUCGGCGGUUGGGGAUGGACUCGCGGCUUAUCAGCUUGUUGGUGGGGUAGUGGCUUACCAAGGCUUUGACGGGUAGCCGGCCUGAGAGGGUGACCGGCCACAUUGGGACUGAGAUACGGCCCAGACUCCUACGGGAGGCAGCAGUGGGGAAUAUUGCACAAUGGGCGGAAGCCUGAUGCAGCAACGCCGCGUGCGGGAUGACGGCCUUCGGGUUGUAAACCGCUUUCGCCUGUGACGAAGCGUGAGUGACGGUAAUGGGUAAAGAAGCACCGGCUAACUACGUGCCAGCAGCCGCGGUGAUACGUAGGGUGCGAGCGUUGUCCGGAUUUAUUGGGCGUAAAGGGCUCGUAGGUGGUUGAUCGCGUCGGAAGUGUAAUCUUGGGGCUUAACCCUGAGCGUGCUUUCGAUACGGGUUGACUUGAGGAAGGUAGGGGAGAAUGGAAUUCCUGGUGGAGCGGUGGAAUGCGCAGAUAUCAGGAGGAACACCAGUGGCGAAGGCGGUUCUCUGGGCCUUUCCUGACGCUGAGGAGCGAAAGCGUGGGGAGCGAACAGGCUUAGAUACCCUGGUAGUCCACGCUGUAAACGGUGGGUACUAGGUGUGGGGUCCAUUCCACGGGUUCCGUGCCGUAGCUAACGCUUUAAGUACCCCGCCUGGGGAGUACGGCCGCAAGGCUAAAACUCAAAGGAAUUGACGGGGCCCCGCACAAGCGGCGGAGCAUGCGGAUUAAUUCGAUGCAACGCGUAGAACCUUACCUGGGUUUGACAUGGAUCGGGAGUGCUCAGAGAUGGGUGUGCCUCUUUUGGGGUCGGUUCACAGGUGGUGCAUGCCUGUCGUCAGCUCGUGUCGUGAGAUGCUGGGUUAAGUCCCGCAACGAGCGCAACCCUUGUUCACUGUUGCCAGCACGUUAUGGUGGGGACUCAGUGGAGACCGCCGGGGUCAACUCGGAGGAAGGUGGGGAUGACGUCAAGUCAUCAUGCCCCUUAUGUCCAGGGCUUCACGCAUGCUACAAUGGCUGGUACAGAGAGUGGCGAGCCUGUGAGGGUGAGCGAAUCUCGGAAAGCCGGUCUCAGUUCGGAUUGGGGUCUGCAACUCGACCUCAUGAAGUCGGAGUCGCUAGUAAUCGCAAAUCAGCAACGCUGCGGUGAAUACGUUCCCGGGGCU